AUUUAUCUAGUAUACUAGUACAUUUGACUUCCAAUCAAAAAGUUUAAUAAAUUAAGAUAAAUA
rnacentral:tRNA from 1 species